rnacentral:rRNA from 1 species
UGCCAGUAGUGAUAUGCUUGUCUCAAAGAUUAAGCCAUGCAAGUCUAAGUACGAGCUCUCGUACAGCGAAACUGCGAAUGGCUCAUUAAAUCAGUUAUGGUUCAUUUGAUCGUAUGGUUUACUUGGAUAACUGUGGUAAUUCUAGAGCUAAUACAUGCAAACAGCGCCGACUUCGCGGGAGGCGUGCUUUUAUCAGACCAAAAACCGACCGCGGCUCCGGCCGCGUUCGACUGGUGACUCUGGAUAACCUGGCGGAUCGCACGGUCUAGCACCGGCGACGGAUCAUUCAAGUGUCUGCCCUAUCAACUUUCGUCGGUACGGUAUUCGCCUACCGAGGUUCUUACGGGUAACGGGGAAUCAGGGUUCGAUUCCGGAGAGGGAGCCUGAGAAACGGCUACCACAUCCAAGGAAGGCAGCAGGCGCGCAAAUUACCCAUUCCCGACGCGGGGAGGUAGUGACGAAAAAUAACAAUGCAGGACUCAUUCGAGGCCCUGUAAUUGGAAUGAGUACACUUUAAAAGCUUUAACGAGUAUCCAUUGGAGGGCAAGUCUGGUGCCAGCAGCCGCGGUAAUUCCAGCUCCAAAAGUAUAUAUUUAAGUUGUUGCGGUUGAAAAGCUCGUAGUUGGAUUUUGGGCGCGGGCGGUCGGUCCGUCGCGAGGCGUGUACUGGUCGACCCGGCCUUACGUCCGGUUCUCCGGCGGUGCUCUUGACUGAGUGUCGGCGGCGGCCGGAAAGUUUACUUUGAAAAAAUUAGAGUGUUCAAAGCAGGCUCUCGAGCCUGAAUAAUGGUGCAUGGAAUAAUGGAAUAGGACCUCGGUUCUAUUUUGUUGGUUUUCGGAGCGCCGAAACGUAAGCUAUAUGUUGGAUCGUUUUAAUGGGAAUUCAAGGCCUUUUAAAGUUUAUAAAAGAUGCCACGGAAGAUAUACACAUUCGGGAAUAUGCAAACCAAACGGUUGCGGUCGAUACUUACUGUUGGUUGCAUAGAGGAUCGUUUGCGUGCGC